CUUUUUUUUUUCUUUUCCGAGUACGUGUGUACUGUGUGUGUGUGCCCCUCAUGUUUUGGCAUGCGUUGCGUGUGGCCUAGCCGGUGCGAUACGGGGAUGAAUGCGUCGGAAUUCAGGCCGGGCAAAGCGUGGGAAAUGUCGCGAGACUGACUUCACACGGGCAUAGAUUUGAACAGACAAGGGACCGUAUGAAUAGAACCUUUGGUUUUAGGGGGAGGUAGUUGUGUGGGCCAACGGCACGCACCCCUUUUAUUUCACGUCAGACCGCUCGCGCAUUCAAGCCAACAUAUCGCAUUCCGAUACAACAGGUGAAAUACUUUUGGCACAAAUAAUAAUAAUAACAGUUUUUUUCCCUUCCCAAGAACUUGGUUAUGGUGUUUAUUCAGUGAAAUCAGCUUGAUGACAACUUGCCGGUUUGAACAAUGGCGGGGGAUAGGACAUCAAAAAGUCAAGAGAAGCGUAAGUCCUCCAAGCCGCAGAUGGAGAAGCGGAGACGGGCCCGCAUCAACGAGUGCCUGACCGAUCUCCAAGGAAUCCUGGAGACUGCCAAUAACGGCCAGGAGGAGACCACGGGGGGCCAUUCCAAGAGAGAGAAGGCGGAGAUACUGGAGCAAACGGUUCAACUUGUGAAGCGUCUUCGCCGUCAAGACCAAAUAGGAAUCUCCAAUGAACCGAUUCCCCAAGCGCAGUAUCGGGCGGGCUUCAACGAGUGCCUGAACGAAGUCAGUCGAUUCAUGGAGGCCAACAACAGCGCCCUCAACGUCGAAACGCGCUCGGGGCUCCUCAACCACCUUGCGGGAUCUCUGGGCUCCUGCAGUAGCAACAACAGCAGCAAUGGCUGGAGCGCCAGCGCACCACCAGGGCAUCGGCAGUUUGGACCGGGACUUGGCAGUAUCGUGCCCCGGGAGGUCGUGGUUCAUCACGGUAGGCCGAGUUCCGAUCGCCCGGCGCUGGCACCCGGUGCUGCAACCAUCGUGCAACAGUCACCACAAGCCCUCGCCACACCACCCAAAGUCAUGGUCCCACCGCUACCCCCGGCCCAACCACCACCCACCGCCCCGUCCAUGAGCUCCCAGCUGCAGGCCGGUGCCAAUGCCAAUAACGCUAUCCCCGUCCAGCAAUCUCCGAGGAAGGGUGAGCACCCGAUCGCAGCCUGCGUCCCACCGCUGGCCUCAGCGAACCCCGGGGUCACACUCCCGGUGAAUAUCCCCCAAGCCCCAGCAGGUCACGUCGCCCUGGUCCUUCCGGCUCACCUCCUCGGCUCGUUCGUCGGCGGCCAGUUUGCAACGGGCCAGGUGAUCCCCCUGUACCACCAGCAGAGCGGUUCCCCCGGGGUAGUCCAACAAAGGGCACUGACCACCUCAGUGGCACUUCCUGCCGGGUCAGUGGGCGUGUCCUCGUCAAGCCCCGCCCCUGUGCGAGGCUCGAAACUCGACAACCAAUGUGCAACCAGUUCCAGCAGUGUCGGGGCGGGACCGAUAUUCAUUGUGCCCAGCCCCAAUUUAGGAAAUCCCACCAACAUGGCGCCUAACAGUGCUAGACCAGUGGCACCAACAACGCCCUCUCCGUCGUCUGUCCACGCCUACCGAGGAGGCGUUCCAGUACUACCUUCAAAUCCGUCAAGCGCUCCAAAUAGCGUGGUAGCUAUGGAAACAAGAAACCAAAAUGGCGUCGUCUACGCCCCAGCCUCGCUACCAAUGCAGCUGUACGUUGCGCCCUCUGCCUACGGUGGUGGCGUCAACGGCCCGUUCGCGAAUGGUCUUUCUUUGCCAAAUCCAUCAACCUUAGCCAUGGGUCCUCAUUGGCGACCGUGGGGUUGGGAUCAGGACCAGAGAUAACCGAAUUUCGAAUCCUGUUUACAGACGCAGCGAUACAAUUCAAACCAAACAUGUUAAGAAAUCCACAUUCGAAAGUGAUACAUUUUU
rnacentral:misc_RNA from 1 species